CUUGUCAGUAAUUCGCAGCUUCUCUGUAGUAUCGUAACACAAAUUUGUGUGUAUGAGACACUGACCAUUAAUCUAAGGGCUUUUUUUCCCUCGCCACAGCGUGCCGAGAAUGUAUCAAUUGUUUUGCGGGGAAAUCUCACAGAUGAAGCCUUACUAAAUAAAACACGGAAGAGGAAAGAGAUAUAGACAGAAACAUAAACAAGGGGAACUCGGAGACAAAUUAUUGUCCUUAAAACAAAAAAACACAAUAAAAUCUCCAUAUAUGUGUUUUCUGAAUGAGCGCAGCAGAAAGCAGCCGGAAUGUGCAUGGCUAUAAAGUUGUGCUCACACACACACAGACACACUGAAUUUUCUGGGAGGCUUUUUCCCCCUUUUACUGGAGUACAGGAGAACUCUCAUCUCCUCCCAGGAGAGCCGUGGAUUUUUACACAUAGCAGCAAAACAAAUUUCAAUACAAAGUGCCACGCGGUAAAUAAACGAGGGCUUUUGGCAAAGCCUCUCCCGCAGCCCAAGCCGCUGAUGGCAGAGCUGUUCCACCACAGCCUGCACUACAAAGGGAAAAGUCCAUAAAUAUUUGUACAGCAAACUCCUCAGAAAAACCCCUAGCCCAUACAGCGAGCAGAUGGAUGUUUACACGGACGUGAUGGAGCGCUGCGCAGCACAACACUUGUCAGACGGAAUGAGGCGGCUCUCCUCUGCUGUGCAGGAGCUGAAUCGUCUCAGGAAAAUAAAAGGAUGGGAUUUGAUCAAAUACUAAUCAGGCAGCAAUAAUCAGCCGUGCAGUAGCCUAAAACAUACACUAUUUUAUCUCUAUUGAAUGUUGACAUAUAUCCAAAAAGUCCUCAAAGAAACUUGGAUUUAGAUAAUAUAUUGUGAUUGCAGCAGAUCUGCGGGAUUAAAACCGUUCUUGAUCUUCAAACAGAAUAAGGAUGUACAGUUCUGGUUACUGCACGUAUAUUUGUAUGUGAAAGACGUGACAAAUAUUUUUGGUUAUUUAGAAGCCCACGUUCCUGUAUUUUCAAUUUUUCCAGACCAAAGACUGGGAAAGUGAUUUGACAGUCACAGGUAAUUACAGAUUAAACUCAUUAGAAAUUAUAAACACUCAUACAGUCUGCUAAACCCCCGGACAAAACCUGGAGAUCAGAAAUCCAAUAACGGAGCACCGAUGGUCUCUAACGGCCGGACAGAUGCUCAGCGCACGGCGCUCGUGUCGGGAGCGGAACGCUGGAGAUCACCGUCUGCAUUAAAUAACGAGGCACUGCUGUCAGAUCACAUCAUUCGUAUGAGCUGGUUUAAUCCAUCUUUGCCAUUAAAUCGCGUUCUUCGAUAAUUGUAUAAUUUUGUUGUUUAUUCAUUUUGCAUAAUAUGAAAAAAAUAAAUAAAUAAAGAUAAUAUUCAGAUGAGAGAGGCUGCUCUGAGCCGCUCGGUACAGCCUUCAAAAGGAUCUCUGUCCAAUUGAUACAUACAAGCAGCCAGGACUGCUGCCACAGAAUACAAA
ensembl:lncRNA